rnacentral:rRNA from 1 species
UACGUAGGGGGCAAGCGUUGUCCGGAUUUAUUGGGCGUAAAGAGCGUGUAGGCGGCCAUACAGGUCCGUUGUGAAAACUGGAGGCUCAACCUCGAGCUGUCGGCGGAAACCAUCUGGCUAGAGUCCGGAAGAGGAGAGUGGAAUUCCUGGUGUAGCGGUGAAAUGCGCAGAUAUCAGGAAGAACACCUAUGGCGAAGGCAGCUCUCUGGGACGGUACUGACGCUGAGACGCGAAAGCGUGGGGAGCGAACAGG